rnacentral:rRNA from 1 species
UCGGGAAUUUUGGGCAAUGGGCGAAAGCCUGACCCAGCAACGCCGCGUGAAGGAUGAAGUAUUUCGGUAUGUAAACUUCGAAAGAAUAGGAAGAAUAAAUGACGGUACUAUUUAUAAGGUCCGGCUAACUACGUGCCAGCAGCCGCGGUAAUACGUAGGGACCAAGCGUUGUUCGGAUUUACUGGGCGUAAAGGGCGCGUAGGCGGCAAUUCAAGUCAUCUGUGAAAUCUCCGGGCUUAACUCGGAACGGUCAGAUGAUACUGCUUUGCUAGAGUGCAGAAGGGGCAAUCGGAAUUCUUGGUGUAGCGGUGAAAUGCGUAGAUAUCAAGAGGAACACCUGAGGCGAAGGCGGGUUGCUGGGCUGAUACUGACGCUGAGGCGCGAAAGCUAGGGUAGCAAACGGGAUUAGAUACCCUCGUAGUCCCUGAGCGGGCUGGCAAGGCGCAU